CCUCGACAUAAAUACACCGUUUUAUUGAGUAAAGUGUAUUUUAGAGGACGACGACGACUGACGUUACAAACACAGAAAAUAUCAAAUCAAAGAAAAUGUAAUUUUACUGAAAUUAGGCCUUUCAAAAUAAGAACCUGAGGAGGAGCACGACAUUACACAGGCCUUUCAAAAUAAAAACCUGAGGAGGAGCACGACAUUACACAGGCCUUUCAAAAUAAAAGACAUGUCAAACACAGGCCUUUCAAAAUAAAAGACAUGUCAAACACAGGCCUUUCAAAAUAAAAGACAUGUCAAACACAGGCCUUUCAAAAUAAACGACAUGUUAAACACAGCCCUUUCAAAAUAAAAGACAUGUAAAACACUGGCCUUUCAAAAUAAAAGACAUGUCAAACACAGGCCUUUCAAAAUAAAAGACAUGUCAAACACAGGCCUUUCAAAAUAAAAGACAUGUCAAACACAGGCCUUUCAAAAUAAGAACCUGAGGAGGAGCACGACAUUACACAGGCCUUUCAAAAUAAAAGACAUGUCAAACACAGGCCUUUCAAAAUAAACGACAUGUCAAACACAGGCCUUUCAAAAUAAAAGACAUGUCAAACACAGGCCUUUCAAAAUAAACGACAUGUAUAACACUGGCCUUUCAAAAUAAACGACAUGUCAAACACAGGCCUUUCAAAAUAAAAGACAUGUCAAACACAGGCCUUUCAAAAUAAAAGACAUGUAAAACACAGGCCUUUCAAAAUAAACGACAUGUCAAACACAGGCCUUUCAAAAUAAAAGACAUGUAAAACACUGGCCUUUCAAAAUAAAAGACAUGUCAAACACAGGCCUUUCAAAAUAAAAGACAUGUCAAACACAGGCCUUUCAAAAUAAAAGACAUGUCAAACACAGGCCUUUCAAAAUAAGAACCUGAGGAGGAGCACGACAUUACACAGGCCUUUCAAAAUAAACGACAUGUCAAACACUGGCCUUUCAAAAUAAACGACAUGUCAAACACAGGCCUUUCAAAAUAAAAGACAUGUCAAACACAGGCCUUUCAAAAUAAACGACAUGUAUAACACUGGCCUUUCAAAAUAAACGACAUGUCAAACACAGGCCUUUCAAAAUAAAAGACAUGUCAAACACAGGCCUUUCAAAAUAAAAGACAUGUAAAACACAGGCCUUUCAAAAUAAACGACAUGUCAAACACAGGCCUUUCAAAAUAAAAGACAUGUAAAACACUGGCCUUUCAAAAUAAAAGACAUGUCAAACACAGGCCUUUCAAAAUAAAAGACAUGUCAAACACAGGCCUUUCAAAAUAAAAGACAUGUCAAACACAGGCCUUUCAAAAUAAAAGACACGUCAAACACAGGCCUUUCAAAAUAAAAGACAUGUCAAACACAGGCCUUUCAAAAUAAACGACAUGUCAAACACUGGCCUUUCAAAAUAAAAGACAUGUCAAACACGGGCCUUUCAAAAUAAAAGACAUGUAUAACACAGGCCUUUCAAAAUAAAAGACAUGUCAAACACUGGCCUUUCAAAAUAAAAGACAUGUCAAACACAGGCCUUUCAAAAUAAAAGACAUGUAUAACACAGGCCUUUCAAAAUAAAAGACAUGUAAAACACAGGCCUUUCAAAAUAAAAGACAUGUAUAACACUGGCCUUUCAAAAUAAAAGACAUGUAAAACAUCAGAUGUGCAUGAAAUAUUUACUGUUUUGAUCAGCUGUUCGUGACCCAACCAGAACAUGUCUGUGACCCACUUUUGGGUCGGGACCCACCAGUUGAGAACCACUGGGCUACAGGUCUUGGACCCCCUGCUGGUCCAGGAUCAGGGUUUACAGAGACGGUUUAACAGGCAGCAGAUUAAAGUUUAUUUAGACGAGACUGAAACAGUAAACUGAGAGCAGCUGAAGCUCUGCAGACACACACUAAUACACACACACACACACACACACACACACACCUUCUAGGAACCCUGAGAGUGUGUGUGUGUGUGUGUGUGUGUGUGUGUGUGUGUGUGUGUGUGUGUCCGGCUCUUUCUAAGAAGGAGCAGCAGCUGCAGGACAUGGAGGUUAAAGACGGACGGAUCGGCGGUCUGGAUGAUGAGUCAGCUGAGUCUCAGUUUCGUUUUCUCGCUCGUGAUGUUUCUGCGUUUCAUCAGAGCGUCUCAGAGGUCAGAGGUCACAGGAUUAAACGUAAACACUGAACAUCUCUGCAGAUCUGAGGGAACAGAGAGAAGAAGGAGAAGAAAACAAGGAGGAAAAUAAAAACCUAAGAAAGAAAAUCACAAACUUUAAAGGAGCAGGAAACAAAACGAUUAAAUAAAACAAAAACAAACAGCUGAGUGUGUGUGUGUGUGUGUGUGUGUGUGUGUGUGUGUGUGUGUAUCAGGCUGAGAGCAUCCUGUAACUGGAAGUCACAUGACUCUGAAGAGAAAUCCCCACUUCCUCCUCCUCUGUCCUUAUAUGGUCAUGUCUCCUCUGCCUGUUGGAGCCCCGCCCCCUGCAGGAAAACCACUAUUGUGACUCCCCCCUCCUCCCCCUUCUUAUCAGAUGUAUGUUUUUAUUGCUCACACACACACACACACACACACACACACAGGUUGUUGUGAUGAAAUGAUUGAUAUUUCAAACCCGAUUAUUGAUGAUCUUUACAGGUUUUUCUCUCUAUCUGACAGCAGAAUGAGAAUUUAUACAGUUUAUCUAAAUUUGUCCAUGAAUAACCAGGACCAUAACAGAGUCAGACUAAAUAAUAAUUAUAACUAAAACACAAACGAGUCUCUGACUGAGCAGGUGAGAAAAACUUACAUGAUUAUAUUUAAGUCGUUUGUUUGUCUUAGCGUCCUGAAAAUCCUCAGAGCUUCAGUCGCCAACUGAAGUCGUAUCCUCCGAUCGUAGCUGAUCGUAACCAUUCAAGUUAACGUGUCAAUUUACACCGACUUCUUUCCGUUCCUCUGCGGAUCGCCGGACUCCUCAGCUGAUCACAAGAGUUCUAUUUUUUCUGGACGCCGGAGCAUGGCGGAUAAAUUCAGCACAGAUUAACCCGUGCUGGAAAGGAAGUCGGGCACAGACACAAAAUAAAACAUCCGGCUUCUUUUCAAAAUAAAACACUCCGUGUUUCAGGAGGAUCGUAUUUCACACCAUGCAAACGGGCGGAGACGAACAAGUGAAAGGUUUUUAGACGUCAUUUCACCCCGAUGACACCAUGGAUGAGGAGAUGCUGAUUCUAGAAGUCUAGAAGUAGAUUUCCUCCUCUGGAAGGACACAAUCUACUGCUUAUAUGUCUAUGUGUCUGUCUUUAGAGAGACAACUCGUUAUCGUGAGAUUGGACAUGAAUCUGCGGGUUCUUGUGAGAAAUCCGACUUCAGGCGGACGUUCCAGAUGAAUUUCCAACUUCCAAGUACAACUGGAACGCACCUUUACUCUCCAUCAGUGAGCGGUACUUGAUAUGGGGGCGUGUCCAUCUCCUCUCCCCUCAGUCCUCUCUCCUAGCAGGUCUGUGACUACGCUCAGAUCUGACUGGAGACCUUUGGAGGACCUGUGGAGAUGCAGGGAGAGCACUCCUGAUUGUUUGACAGAGAUCGUCUGCAGAGGAGACCAUGAGGACAUCUGACCAACAUGCUGUUAAAGGUCAAAGUUCAGAAAGCAAAAGACCUUCACAGUCAGAGAGGGUCCACAGCUGAAGAACCUGAGAUGUCUGCUGAAGUUCAAACUCAAACCUGAGUGUUCCUGUCUGUGACCAAAGAUGGAGAGAACAUCUGAAGGAGCUGGAACUGUGUGGUGGAAAGCAGCGUGGAGGAGUUCCACCUGUUCUAAAUAAAGUGAAGCUGCAGACGAACAGAGACACAUCGCCUUCACAGGAAGUGCUCACAUCUUCUUCUUCCUCUGUGGUGGUUUCUAAAACAGAAACCGUCACCUCCACCCUGAACCCACAGACCUCCCACCACCGCCGCUCCGUCCGUCCGUCUGCACACAGAUGACACACUCGCAGUUUCCUCGCUGUCACGGCUCGUCCUCCUUCGGCACGUUUUUCACACACAGACGCACUUCUCUGUCGGCGUGAUGCCCACCGUGAGACCACGCCAUGAGACCACGCCAUGAGACCCCACGUCGACCCCGAUCAGGGUCAGGUCUGCCCCCCCUGUGAAGAUCCUCCUCAUCCUCAGGAACCAUGAUCCAUCCUCAUGAUCCAUCCUGCUGCUACAAACAGAACAGAG
rnacentral:lncRNA from 1 species